UACAGAGGGCGCGAGCGUUGUUCGGAAUUAUUGGGCGUAAAGGGCGCGUAGGCGGUGCGGUAAGUCACCUGUGAAAUCUCCUGGCUCAACUGGGAGCUUGCAGGCGAAACUGCCGUGCUGGAGUGUGGGAGAGGUGCGUGGAAUUCCUGGUGUAGCGGUGAAAUGCGUAGAUAUCAGGGGGAACACCUGUGGCGAAAGCGGCGCACUGGACCACAACUGACGCUGAGGCGCGAAAGCUAGGGGAGCAAACAGG
rnacentral:rRNA from 1 species